GACGAACGCUGGCGGCGUGCUUAACACAUGCAAGUCGAACGGAAGGGCCCUGCUUUUGUGGGGUGCUCGAGUGGCGAACGGGUGAGUAACACGUGAGUAACCUGCCCUUGACUUUGGGAUAACUUCAGGAAACUGGGGCUAAUACCGGAUAGGAGCUCCUGCUGCAUGGUGGGGGUUGGAAAGUUUCGGCGGUUGGGGAUGGACUCGCGGGUUAUCAGCUUGUUGGUGGGGUAGUGGCUUACCAAGGCUUUGACGGGUAGCCGGCCUGAGAGGGUGACCGGCCACAUUGGGACUGAGAUACGGACCAGACUCCUACGGGAGGCAGAAGUGGGGAAUAUUGCACAAUGGGCGGAAGCCUGAUGCAGCAACGCCGCGUGCGGGAUGACGGCCUUCGGGUUGUAAACCGCUUUCGCCGGUGACGAAGCGUGAGUGACGGUAAUGGGUAAAGAAGCACCGGCUAACUACGUG
rnacentral:rRNA from 1 species